rnacentral:rRNA from 1 species
UGGCUCAGAUUGAACGCUGGCGGCAUGCUUUACACAUGCAAGUCGAACGGUAACAGGCCGCAAGGUGCUGACGAGUGGCGAACGGGUGAGUAAUGCAUCGGAACGUGCCCAGUCGUGGGGGAUAACGCAGCGAAAGCUGUGCUAAUACCGCAUACGAUCUAUGGAUGAAAGCGGGGGACCGUAAGGCCUCGCGCGAUUGGAGCGGCCGAUGUCAGAUUAGGUAGUUGGUGGGGUAAAGGCCCACCAAGCCAACGAUCUGUAGCUGGUCUGAGAGGACGACCAGCCACACUGGAACUGAGACACGGUCCAGACUCCUACGGGAGGCAGCAGUGGGGAAUUUUGGACAAUGGGCGCAAGCCUGAUCCAGCAAUGCCGCGUGCAGGAAGAAGGCCUUCGGGUUGUAAACUGCUUUUGUACGGAACGAAACGGUCUGGGUUAAUACCCUGGGCUAAUGACGGUACCGUAAGAAUAAGCACCGGCUAACUACGUGCCAGCAGCCGCGGUAAUACGUAGGGUGCAAGCGUUAAUCGGAAUUACUGGGCGUAAAGCGUGCGCAGGCGGUUUUGUAAGACAGUCGUGAAAUCCCCGGGCUCAACCUGGGAAUUGCGAUUGUGACUGCAAAGCUGGAGUGCGGCAGAGGGGGAUGGAAUUCCGCGUGUAGCAGUGAAAUGCGUAGAUAUGCGGAGGAACACCGAUGGCGAAGGCAAUCCCCUGGGCCUGCACUA